rnacentral:rRNA from 1 species
GACGAACGCUGGCGGCGUGCUUAACACAUGCAAGUCGAACGGAGACUUAAAGGGAGUUUACUUGCUUUAAGUCUUAGUGGCGGACGGGUGAGUAACGCGUGGAUAACCUGCCUAUCAGCCUGGGACAACACCGGGAAACUGGUGCUAAUACCGGGUACGCUCAUUGGGACACAUGUUUUGAUGAGGAAAGGAGCAAUCCGCUGAUAGAUGGGUCCGCGUGCCAUUAGCUAGUUGGAGGUGUAAGGGACCCCCAAGGCGACGAUGGGUAGCCGGACUGAGAGGGUGGACGGCCACACUGGAGCUGAGACACGGUCCAGACUCCUACGGGAGGCAGCAGUGGGGAAUCUUCCGCAAUGGGCGAAAGCCUGACGGAGCAACGCCGCGUGAAUGAUGAAGGCCUUCGGGUUGUAAAAUUCUGUCUUCAGGGAAGAAAAAAAUGACGGUACCUGAGGAGGAGGCCCCGGCUAACUACGUGCCAGCCGCCGCGGUAAUAC